CCCAAUCUCUGCCGUGGCAAAACCUUACUGGAAAGGACCACAAUAUGUGAGUGUUAGUUGUGGCAGUUGAUAAUCCCCUCUCAAAUGUUUCAUCUGUUUUAGUUUUAGCUUGCUCCUUGUAAGACUUCAGGGUAAGGACGGGUAGGUCUGAAUGUUCGCUGUAGAUUGGCAGCUAAACGAACACAAAUGGCCAAAUGCAACUCUCGUCUUUUCAAGACCAAAUCUUCAUUUUGAACAUCUUUCUUGGUCUUCUUCUUCCAACUCACCAGAGCCAUGUCUCUAACGCCAUUGAUGUUCCGGUCACUGGUGGAGCUUCUAACGGCCCUGGUAAGUCAGCCUGCUGCCUCUGUCACAACGAUACUCUACUACAGUGAACUUCUUCCUCAGAAUAUUGUUCUGGAGAGAAUGGUUAGACACGAGUUACUUGAGCAAGAAAAUUAUCUUUUCCACUUUCUCGUCAAUUUUUUGAGAUGUUUCUGGUAGACUCUUCAUCUCCUUAAUUUCCCAGAUUUCAGUUGACUCAUCAUCUUUAUCAUCAUACAGCCAUUUUUAUUUUCUGACAUAAUUUAGUCAACUUAUGAGAGAAAGGUAGUUUCUGAAAUUUUCCUACGCUUUUCUCAGAUUGAUUUUUACAUGGUGGAUCCGGCAAUUUUGUGUAAUUGUAAUUGGUGAUUAUUUUGAGAUUCUUGAAAUAAUUAGAAGGAACAAAACAAUGUAUUGAGUUCAGACACUUAAACAUGCAAUGGGUGGGUGGAUUUUGUCAUGUAAAGAGAGGAUCAUCAAUAUUAAUUUCUGUUUGAAAUAAACAUUAUUGUUUCAUGGAA